UGUACGUGACUUUUCUGAACAUAUAGGCUAUUUCCAUAGGGUAGCCACAAAUGCUACAGUAAACACUAGUUCGCUGCUUAAGACUAAUGUAUCAUGCAGUUUUAAUAACAAUUAAUUAAAUAAUUAAUAAUCAAAGACCAAAUUAAUAUCCGUCGCUUUGCUCAUAUUAUAAAUAACCUGAUAUUGCCCCCUGUAUAUUGGGCCGAAUUUUCUUCCCAGUCCAUUACUUUCCACCGUAAAAAAUAGCCAACAGAUAAUAUGAGCGCCUACAAAGGUUACAGCAGAUUCCUUUGCUUUCUUCUCUUCAUCUGCUCAAUAAACGUGUUAUUUGACUGCUUAGGACACAGCAAGAGGGUUGAAAUUUGCGAUUUCAGAGAUGAAGACGGGGAAAUCCAAACAAAAUCGUACUGGCAAAAUUGUUCAGAAUCGCCGGAAUUGCGCGGCGUGGCGGUAGGUGGCACUCGAUUGUUUUACGGGCGGUAAGCGAAAACCGACUCGCUGGUGCUAGCCGAGCUUCAGCAGCUAGUCCUGGGCGGAAUCCCACAGCGCCUCGUGGUGCGCCUAACCCGUCCGGCUCCUGACGCCGGCUUUGUCACUAGAGAUUAGGACCAGCGGUGUGCAAUGGAUCUUAACAUAAAAAACUAUGUAAAGUACCAACUGCUGAUGCCUUCUUCCGGGCACCUCAGUUUGCCCCGUGGACAGCGAGACGGUACGUAGUGUUUCGGCGGUCGCGUACAAGGAAUGUAUUUUCAGUUAUACUGUAUAAAGGUUUGUAGCUUUGCUUUUGAUUACGUUUGUGAAUAAUUAUUCGUGUGUCGUUUAAUGUCGUUUUUGUUAAAAUGCAUUAUUUUGAUGGAUAGGUGACCGGGCUUUUUAUGUUCUCUGUUAGGGGUUACACACAGUCUUCUUCCUAUGUUCACGUGUUUUAAUAAUUGUUCCACCGAUCUGGGUAGAACAAUUAUUAAAACACGUGAACAUAGGGGUUACACACAGUCUUCUUCCUAACAGGAAGUUAGGAAGUGCUCCACACAAACACGAACGAGUGUUAUUUUUCAAUUACGUGUGGCUUGCCGUGAUCGUAUAGUGGUUAGUACUUUGCGUUGUGGCCGCAACAGCCCCGGUUCGAAUCCGAGUCACGGCAGAUGAUGUCUUAUAAAGCUAUUACUUUUCACACCACAUGUUUCAACUUACGUUUUUAAAUCUCUUUUUUUUAAUCAAUUUAGCUGUUUAUUUACUUGAAACCGUAGUAUUCAAAGUCGGAUAUUAAUCUGAAUGCUGAAACUCAUUUUCGGGUUAUUAAAAACAAGAACCCUGUAUCCAAUUAGGAGUACUUGCUUGUUUGUGAAGCUGAAUUAUACAGAGAUCUGCUUCAUUUUCUGUAUAUCUACUUAUAGGACGUUCGUCGGACGUUUUUCUUAAAAAAAAAAAGAAAACUAAUAAAAUGACAUGACGUUAUUCUUGCUUCUGCAAUGAAUCCUCCAGAUAGUGGAGACGGCAGCGAAAUUGCAUCCAACAUGUUACACACAACAAUACAAUUUGUAAUAUAUAUUUAACUGUCAGUAAGUUUAAUGAUAUUGUCCUGCCAGAGUUUAAACACAGUGAGCACACCUGUGUAGCAGGCAUCUCCUGUCCUGCUGUCCUUCACAUCCUCCCUGCAUUGGUUUAAUGGUUGGGCCAACGCUGUGGAUACCAUGAUUAUUGUUAGCCUGUAUAGUGCUGAUUGCCAGCAGGCCGUCGUGUCACAAUGCACAAAGUAUGGUAUUCUCUCCAUCCAUCCAUUUUCCAAACUGCUUAUCCUACUGGGUCGCGGGGGGUCCCCGGAGCUUAUGCCAGAAUGGCACGUGGCAGGGAACAACCCAGGAUGGGGGGACAGCCCAUCGCAGGGCACACUCACUCCAUUCACUCACACAUGCACUCCUACGGGCAAUUUAGCAAGUCCAAUUAGCCUCAGCAUGUUUUUGGACUGUGAGGGGAAACUGGAGUACCUGGAGGAAACCCCAUGACGACAUGGGAAGAACAUGCAAACUCCACACACAUGUAACCCAGGCGGAAACUCGAACCCGGGACCCAGAGGUGUGAGGCAACAAUGCUAACCACUGCACCACAAUGCCGCCCCAAGUUUGGUAUUAUUUGUUUUAAAUAAAUAAAUAAAUAAAUAUAAAAGACAUGCAAUUGCAAGACACUGUCUCCAUAAACUUUAUUAUAUUAUCAGAACUUCAUUAGCAGCCGUUAUUGAUCCAGGAUUUUUUUCAUUCAGGGUCUAGUGAACGUUGAUCAAAUCAUUUUUUGAUGUUUUUACAGGAGAUUCUUCUGCUUUUUUCUGUUCAUCUGCUCGAUAAACGUGUUAUCUAACUGCUUAGGAUGAUGCUGCUAACGUAGCCUGUUUGCUGUUAUAAGAUCUUGUUAUAUUAUAAGAUCCCCUACGUAAAGUCGCCGACUUGAUACUAAGGAGAUCAUGUUUAAUUCUGAAGCUUGACUUUUAAAAAAAUUACAUCGCAAAACGAAUCAGAACCUCUGUCAAAAAAAAAAAUCACAAUUAACCUUUCUGCUUCACAAACCAAAAAACAACACGGGCCAAGAAAAAUAGUUCAUGAGAGUUUAUUUAAUUGCAGUACGUUACAGGUCAGUACAUUUUGCCACAGUCACAUCCUGCUCAUUCCCAUCAGUGCGGUAAGGUGGCCAAGACAGGUCAACGAAGAGUUUUCUUGUCCGAGUUGCCCCUGUGACGCAAUUUCAACAUGGCGGCUUACACACUCUACAGGAAUUCUAUUUUAUAAAUCUUUAAAAAUGUUUAUUUUGUUAAAUGUAUGAAUAGUUAUAAAUGUAAUUGCACGUGUUAGAUUUAGAGAAUAAAAUAUCGUGACCGUAAACAGUAUCCUAGCAUGCAAUAUCAGUUUUUUACCAGACUUACUGUUUUUGAUUUGUUUGUAGUUUGUUUGCCUCUCGAAAAAAGAAUAUCGCUAUGAAUGUACUAAAAUAUUUUAUAAAUAUUUAACAGCAUUCCCAAUAUAAAGCAAUUGUAGGUUCAGGGCCCACUAGAGUUAGAUCAUUGCUGGCAUUCACAGGAUUCAAAUCAGCAACCUUCCGAUUGCUGGCACAGCUUGCUAGCCUCAGAGCUACCACAGUGAUUUACUGUAAAUGCAUUUAAUUUAGUAGCAGAACAAAUUCUUCAUUAUUCAUUAGCCAAUCACUUAAACAUAGUUGACGGUGGAGUCCGUGGGUGUGUGUAUGUAUGUAUGUGUCCUGCCCCGAUUGUCUGCUCCUCCUGCGUGUCACGCCCUCUCGCUGACCUAGUGUGGAUUCCCCGUGUUCACCAGCUGUUUCCGGUUACCGUCGUCAGUCCAAUGUAUUCAGUUUGUUUGCCCAUACAGGUCAUUGUAUUGUCUGUCUACGUUUUGGCUCGCUUUAUGCACCAUUAAAACCCGUAAUCCCAGACUUGUCUCCGCUUGUGCUUCCCUGGAUCAAUGCAUGACAGUAUGUGUGCGCGUGCGUACACGUUCAUUCGUUCGUCCGUUUGUCCGUCCGUGGUCAGUGUUAGUUGUGACCUGUGUGCUUGGUUUUCUAGUCCUGCUCCUCUGUUUAGCUUAGUUCCUUAGUUUUGUUAAUUAGUGGUUUCUCCCAGGUUGUUUUGGAUCCUUCGUGGUCAUUUUAUUUAGUAUUUUACCCCAGGGUGUUCCGUUUUUCUUUAUUAAACACCAUUUUUGUCUUGGAGCGGUAGUGGAUCGUCACCUUUUUCCUGCCUGCGCCAUAAAAGUUAGCCUUUUCAGAAAUAAAAAAAUCACAUUAUAAACAUUUCUAGCCAGGACUUUUGAGCUCUGAAGCUUAUAGACACAGGGGUUGGCUACACAUAGGUGAAUGAGAUGUUCUGAAAUUUUAUGUAGUUUGAUUACUAAAGUGUUACAACUUUGGAGUGACACACUGUUUUUUUCAAAGUCAGUGGUCUACACAAUAUUGAUGACACAGGUGUCCCACACCUGUAGGUGUUUGCAUACUGUCAGUGGCCCAUCAGUCUGGAAUGUCACUACACCCCACAAUCAUCAUUUUGGAAAGGCAGUUUGAAACGCAAGAAAAGUAGCAACAAUAAAAUCCUCUAAAGUCUCUUUUAUAAGACAGACCUGGUCAACAUAGCAGCCGUACAAACUUACAAACAUAUGAAAACACAACGUGUUUAUGUCCUUUAUCACCCAGGGGCAGAAUGUUACCAAGAGUGCGGUGCGACUUCACAUUUCUGGUCCGUCUUACCUACAUUCUCCAUCACAGUCAGGCACAGGAGGGACACAGAGGCGAAGGAAGAUGUUUAGUUAUCUUAAGUACUUGGCCAUCCAUGGUGUUUGUGGAGUUUUUAUGCAGUGCUUCAUCGAUUCAGCCAAGCAAGCAGACCUGGUAGCUAUCAGACUGAUUCAAGGGUGUAGCUUUGGGUACGGACAGUAAGGACAUGUCCCUAUAAAUACUCUGGGAGUACUGUGUGUGUUAUAGGGGGACGGGAGUUUGGAGGUUGAUUUUGUCCUUACCAACGUUGAAACCAAACCUACGCCUUCGGGUUGGUUUAGGAGAAAUAUCCCAAGCAGUCAGUUUAUUUCAUUUUUCUUUUAUUUAACCAGAGUGUCACACUGAGACAAAGUCCCUUUUCUAAGCGAGCCCUAGCCAAGAAACAGCAGCACAAGGUUAAAACAUAGCACACAACAUAAAACAUAAUCGUACACAAAGGCAGAUUAAAGAAAAGAUGAAGUGUAUGACAAAACACAAUCCAAUACAUUCACAAUGGUACCUUACAAGAUUUCCAACCAGAAAGUGAAAUAAAUGAAGUUUUAACUGAUUUUGUCAUAAGUUCCAGGAAGAAGGUAUGUUAUAGCAAAAUGCAACCUUAUGAAAUUCAGUUGUUAUAAUGGGUUAAUAAGAAUGAGAAUAUUAUUAUUAUUACCUGAGAUUAUGUAUUGUUGGUUAACUAUUAGAAAACAUAGAGAUGCGAUGGUAACGAACCAAUAAUUGUUUAUGGAGACAGUACAUAUCAUACUCUCCUUUCCUCAACCCUAUUGCACAUUUUUUUUUCAACUGUCCAAGCCAUGGAUGAGGCAUGCAGUGACAUGACUUUAGACCAGCGUCAGGCCUAGAUUCGCCAUGCCAGAAGAUUCUUUCCAAGAUGCUUGGCAAGAGAAAACAUUCAUUGAUUCAGUGAUGUGGAUGAGAACCUGUGGCCAAAUCCACAUUUAGUUUUUUGUAAGGCAGGUUAGGAACAUUGCAGAACUUUAGUUGUGAGAAUUUAUGCUGUGUAUUUUAUCAAUAAAUUUUGGAUUUGUUUAAAUGAUUCCACUGCAUCUGUAUAUGCAUGUUUUUUCCCUUUACAACAAUGUUAUAUGAAGCACCACAAUGAAACAGGUGUCAAAAAUUCUGUAUUACUAUAUCUAAUGCUUGGAAGGACAACCAAACAGUGGAACUAUUAGUAGCUUGUGUGUGGCCGAUCUAAACAAAUUUUACUAUGAUUCUCUGAAUGUAAUGUUUCUUUAUAAAUAUGAACGCAAAAAGCAAUGUUUUGAAUGUUGGAGAGUGUGUGUUACAAGUGGUUACCAUAUUGUGUUCUGUGACUAGAGUUUUGGAAAAUAACAUCAAUGUUCUAUAACUAGUGAAAAAAUGAUUGGAAAAAACUGUAAUAUGUAGCCAUGUGGUGUUUCUGCAAAAAAAAAAAAAAAUCUGGAGAUGCAUAAAAUGGCCAAUUAAAUUUAAACUUAAAUUUAAGAAAAUUAACCUUUGUCAGUGUGAUGCUUAGUCAGUCUGGAUGUUUUUCUGUAUUUACUCCCCCAUGAAACCCCCAGGGGUCUCGCAUCAUCUCACCUGAACUUCAUCAAUUUGUCUACAGAGUGUAGUGACACUGAGCACCCAGUUGUCCAAGCCAGCAUGGAGCCCUGUGCCGCUUUCCACUUCAGUUAGUCUGCAGACCAAGCUUUGUUGGCCUACCUGGAGGGGAGUCACUGCUUUUGGGAUGUAUCUCUCCAGAGCAGGAUGUGGAAACCAGUUCACCACUAGAGAACCCAGAAGAGAUGGAUGGGAAGCCCAAGAUUCUUAGUCAGCUCUGUGUAGAUGAUGAGCUGGGCUUGUAGCUUAUUUACAUUUCUCAUUGACUACCUUGUGUCUCAUAAAACAAAAACCAAUGAAAGAUACAGUCAAUUACAUAGGUCAGGGGUAAUCAAUUCUGGUCCUGGAGGGCCAGUGUCCUGCAUCCUACCGCAUUUCACAGCAUUCACACCUGGUCUCAGGUAGAUAACCACCAGAAAAGACUGUUCAAGUAGGAUGGAAAACCUCCAGGACACCGGCCUUCCAGCGAUUACCCCUGACAUACAUGGAUUGGAUCUUGUUUGCAGUUUUGUGGACUGAAGACCAAGUACAGCUGUACUUCGAAAAAAAUGUCUGAGGUUUCUGUUGCCAGUAUAAGUACCUUAUUGUGGUUUCAACACAAUAACUAUACACCAGACUAACGGACAAAGGGGUAAAUCUGGAAAUAAAUUCUUGCAUGUCCAGA